rfam:Rattus norvegicus chromosome 15, whole genome shotgun sequence.
GGGGAUUUAGCUCAGUGGUAGAGCGCGUACCUAGGAAGCGCAAGGCCCUGGGUUCGGUCCCCAGCUCCG